GGACGAACGCUGGCGGCGUGCCUAACACAUGCAAGUCGAACGAAGCAUAGCAAUAUGCUUAGUGGCGGACGGGUGAGUAACGCGUGAACAAUCUGCCCUGUACAAAGGAAUAGCCUCGGGAAACCGGGAUUAAAACCGUAUGACACUUUAGUAUCGCAUGAUAAGAAAGUCAAAUCGAAUAGAGGUAUGGGAUGAGUUCGCGUCUGAUUAGCUGGUUGGCGGGGUAACGGCCCACCAAGGCGACGAUCAGUAGCCGGCCUGAGAGGGUGAACGGCCACACUGGAACUGAGACACGGUCCAGACUCCUACGGGAGGCAGCAGUGGGGAAUAUUGCACAAUGGAGGGAACUCUGAUGCAGCGACGCCGCGUGAGUGAAGAAGGUCUUCGGAUCGUAAAACUCUGUCCUUGGUGAAGAAAAGGACGGUAGCCAAGGAGGAAGCCCCGGCUAACUACGUGCCAGCAGCCGCGGUAAUACGUAGGGGGCGAGCGUUGUCCGGAUUUACUGGGCGUAAAGGGUGAGUAGGCGGUUAUAUAUGUCAGGUGUAAAAGAUCAUGGCUCAACCAUGGUUGGCACUUGAAACUGUAUGACUUGAGUGCAGGAGAGGUAAGCGGAAUUCCUAGUGUAGCGGUGAAAUGCGUAGAUAUUAGGAGGAACACCAGUGGCGAAGGCGGCUUACUGGACUGUAACUGACGCUGAGACACGAAAGCGUGGGUAGCAAACAGGAUUAGAUACCCUGGUAGUCCACGCUGUAAACGAUGAGUGCUAGGUGUUGGGUAGCGAUAUUCAGUGCCGGAGUAAACACAAUAAGCACUCCGCCUGGGGAGUACGUACGCAAGUAUGAAACUCAAAGGAAUUGACGGGGACCCGCACAAGCAGCGGAGCAUGUGGUUUAAUUCGAAGCAACGCGAAGAACCUUACCAAGGCUUGACAUCCCCUUGACCAGUGCAGAGAUGUACUCUCUUCUUCGGAAGCAAGGGAGACAGGUGGUGCAUGGUUGUCGUCAGCUCGUGUCGUGAGAUGUUGGGUUAAGUCCCGCAACGAGCGCAACCCUUAUCCUUAGUUGCUACGAAAGGGCACUCUAAUGGGACUGCCGGUGACAAACCGGAGGAAGGUGGGGAUGACGUCAAGUCCUCAUGGCCCUUAUAGGUGGGGCUACACACGUCAUACAAUGGCCGGUACAAAGGGUAGCCAACCCGCGAGGGGGAGCCAAUCCCAUAAAGCCGGUCGUAGUCCGGAUCGCAGUCUGCAACUCGACUGCGUGAAGUCGGAAUCGCUAGUAAUCGUGGAUCAGCAUGUCACGGUGAAUACGUUCCCGGGUCU
rnacentral:rRNA from 1 species